rnacentral:rRNA from 1 species
CUACGGGCGGCAGCAGUGGGGAAUAUUGGACAAUGGGGGAAACCCUGAUCCAGCAAUGCCGCGUGUGUGAAGAAGGCCUGCGGGUUGUAAAGCACUUUCGGUUGGGAGGACUGCUUCUAGCACUAAUAUUGUUGGAAGUUGACGUUACCUUCAGAAGAAGCACCGGCUAGCUCCGUGCCAGCAGCCGCGGUAAUACGGAGGGGUGCAAGCGUUAAUCGGAAUUACUGGGCGUAAAGCGCGCGUAGGCGGCUAGAUCAGUCGGGUGUGAAAGCCCCGGGCUUAACCUGGGAACUGCAUCCGAUACUGUCUAGCUUGAGUACAGGAGAGGAGAGUGGAAUUCCACAUGUAGCGGUGAAAUGCGUAGAUAUGUGGAGGAACACCAAUGGCGAAGGCAGCUCUCUGGCCUGAUACUGACGCUGAGGUGCGAAAGCGUGGGGAGCAAACAGGAUUAGAUACCCCAGUAGUC